rnacentral:lncRNA from 1 species
CGAUGACAAUGAUCGACAAAAAGGCAUUUACAGGCUCCUCAACGAACAGGUCUAUCUGGCAGCUUACCCUCUGCAUGACGGUCCCUGUGGCAGCGGAUCGUUCGAUCCUCUUACAGAAGUUCCUACCGAACGAAGGCUACUCUACAGCGAAUGGGCCCGACCGGCAUCCUGGUACAAGCAGCAGCCGUUGGUCCUAAUCAGG